rnacentral:rRNA from 1 species
UGGGGAAUUUUGGACAAUGGGGGCAACCCUGAUCCAGCCAUGCCGCGUGAGUGAAGAAGGCCUUCGGGUUGUAAAGCUCUUUCAGCCGGAACGAAAAGGUUACGGUUAAUACCCGUGACUAAUGACGGUACCGGAAGAAGAAGCACCGGCUAACUACGUGCCAGCAGCCGCGGUAAUACGUAGGGUGCGAGCGUUAAUCGGAAUUACUGGGCGUAAAGCGUGCGCAGGCGGUUUUGUAAGUCAGAUGUGAAAUCCCCGGGCUUAACCUGGGAACUGCGUUUGAAACUACAAGGCUAGAGUGUGGCAGAGGGGGGUGGAAUUCCACGUGUAGCAGUGAAAUGCGUAGAGAUGUGGAGGAACACCGAUGGCGAAGGCAGCCCCCUGGGUUAACACUGACGCUCAGGCACGAAAGCGUGGGGAGCAAACAG